rnacentral:rRNA from 1 species
UACUACGGGAGGCAGCAGUAGGGAAUCUUCCGCAAUGGACGAAAGUCUGACGGAGCAACGCCGCGUGAGCGAUGAAGGCCUUCGGGUCGUAAAGCUCUGUUGUCAGGGAAGAACAAGUACCGGAGUAACUGCCGGUACCUUGACGGUACCUGACCAGAAAGCCACGGCUAACUACGUGCCAGCAGCCGCGGUAAUACGUAGGUGGCAAGCGUUGUCCGGAAUUAUUGGGCGUAAAGCGCGCGCAGGCGGUUCCUUAAGUCUGAUGUGAAAGCCCCCGGCUCAACCGGGGAGGGUCAUUGGAAACUGGGGAACUUGAGUGCAGAAGAGGAGAGCGGAAUUCCACGUGUAGCGGUGAAAUGCGUAGAGAUGUGGAGGAACACCAGUGGCGAAGGCGGCUCUCUGGUCUGUAACUGACGCUGAGGCGCGAAAGCGUGGGGAGCGAACAGGAUUAGAUACCCUGGUAGUCCACCCCGUAAACGAUGAGUGCUAAGUGUUAGAGGGGUUCCGCCCUUUAGUGCUGCAGCAAACGCAUUAAGCACU